rnacentral:lncRNA from 1 species
GGACUGUGUACAGUCAUGUUUCAAUUUAGCAAAACCUUGGCCAGAGUAGUCUUUGUGAGGAGUCACAGGACUGUUUGAGUUGAGCACGAUUCGGAUGAUCUAAUCAGGGUUGACAGUUUAACCCUGAGUCAUCCUAAACACAGAGGUCAAAAGGAUGAAUUAUACAGUAACCAUAUUCACGUAGGUUCUAAGUGUUGCGAUUGUGACCAUUCGACCGAUCCGGUCAUCGAGUACUGUUGUGUAUAAAGUGCCCCCCGAC